UACGUAGGGUGCGAGCGUUGUCCGGAAUUACUGGGCGUAAAGGGCUCGUAGGCGGCCAACUAAGUCAGACGUGAAAUCCCUCGGCUUAACCGGGGAACUGCGUCUGAUACUGGAUGGCUUGAGGUUGGGAGAGGGAUGCGGAAUUCCAGGUGUAGCGGUGAAAUGCGUAGGUAUCUGGAGGAACACCGGUGGCGAAGGCGGCAUCCUGGACCAAUUCUGACGCUGAGGAGCGAAAGCCAGGGGAGCAAACGGG
rnacentral:rRNA from 1 species